rnacentral:lncRNA from 1 species
AAGAAGUCUUGGAAUUGUCUGUUUCCUCUAAGUGUCUAGAUGAACUUUUUUCUAUAUAUGAAUUUUUCUGUAUACAGAAUUAGGGCAUUAUGUUUAAGUGGUGAUUUGCGGAUAUGUGUCUGAUCUGCUCACUGGACCCUUACUUUUUCAGCAGCAGCUCGCUGGCCGUCAGCUCAUGGGUCAGGGGAGGUAAGAUGCUGGACCCCAGCUUGUCGGUGCGGCUGUCGUCCGGGCUGACUGCCAUGUGGUUCUUGCCUGCAGAGUUGUCCUGCGAGCCGAAGGACAGAUGCUCGAAGCUCACGGCCUUGCUGUAGGAGGGUGGGGCCUCCACAUCCCCGUCCAAGGUGGAGAACUGUGUCAGCUCUUCCUCUGGGGUGAGGCUGGCCUCCUCGGCACCCAUGGCUCCCACAUCGUACCCAGUGGCCUCGUACUCCUUGGCCUCCCUGGGCUCAGGCGCCAUGCUCCCUGCCUCCUCCUCCUGCUCAGCCUCCACUUCCUCGAUGGUCUCAGUGGUGCCCUGGCGGCUUGUUGGAUGCCACGAUGGAGAGAACCCACUGCCUAAAACCCUCAUCUCCUGGUACCCAACGGAGCAGUGACUGGCGAGGGAAGAUGGCAGAUCCAGGCCUAGGAUGCUGCUGGGUGAGGAUGCUCAUGAGAGGAAGCACACAGAGGUGUGACACAGGCGUAGUUUCAGUUCCCACACAUGGCUCAACCCCAAAGAGGGACAGACAGCCCAAAGAUCCUCUACAGAAAGCAACUGGAAUACUUAUCUUCCAACUUGUGUGCUCAUGGGCUGGCUGACCCAGGGAACAGAAACAGACCUUUAGUGAUAUAGGUUGCCUGAUUUCCAGGCUGAACGUGGUAGGCUGAACUCUGUCAUCAAGUGAACUCACUGGGAGAGUACUAGGUGCCUGGCCUGCACAGCCAUACACUGUUGGCUAAGGAUCCGGAGGCAGAGAUGGAAGACGUUCAGGAUGCAAUGACCACUGCAAGCUUGGGAGGAGUGAAUCUGAGUUAUUCACUCAUGGAACCUGUUAAAAGAGUUUUUCAGGUCCCAUGUGCUGGAGCACAAGCCAUAACUGCUCCAGUGGGGCCGGCCAUGCUGCUGUGCAUGUCACAGCUAUGUGGCCAAGACAGGGGCAGCCAGUGAGGGCGAUAAGCCUGUGAGCAACCAAAAUACUCUCUAAUAAGGACAUUGAGGCUGUUUUGUUUUGUUUUCUUUUCUUUUGUUUUGCCCUAACUCUUUUAGAUGUCACAAUGUCACCAUGUCCUGGACAAAAUGAGGAGACAAUGACAAGAUAAAUUAGAAAAGCAUCGGACGAACACAGUGAGGACUGGGAUGCUGACAUUAACUGGCUGUUUGGUUUUAGAUGAAUCAGUGCCCCUUUCUGGGGCCCCAAUUUUAUGUUUCUGAGAUGAGGGGACUUUGCAUUUCUGUAUUUCAUUUAAUAUUUGCAGAGAUGCAACCCCAUAGCCUGUGCAGUCUCCUGCAGCUUUGCUCAGGUUUUCUUCAUGGGAACUGACGGUUCUAAUUCAAAGCCCUGUUUAUCUUGUUAACUCUUGGAUGGAGUUCUCAGAACCUACAUAAUCCCACACAGUUGGGUUCCCGGUAGGGCAACUAAUACGUCACACAAUCCAGGACAGUUUAAAAGUGAAUAGGAAGGGGAGGAAAUGUAUAAAAAUAGGCCCUGACAGUAGGCCCAAGGGGACGGCUGCCAUCACCUGCCUGACGGGCCCCCCCACUGCCAGCACCACAGGAACACACAGCAACCCCUCAGAGGACAUAUUUAAAAUAUUAACCACCUCCUACCUGGGAAUGCCCCUCAGAAUGUUAAUUAAUGUUUUCUGUGUUAUCUGAUUAUAUAAAGCAACCAUUAAAAAAUGUUUGCCAUUUUACAUCUGGAUUUGAAAGAAACCGUGACUAUUCUCGUAAGUCAAAGGGACUACAAAUCCACUUGUUAGGAUCCCACCCAGACUCUGUCUACUG